rnacentral:rRNA from 1 species
UGGGCUGCUAGACGGGAAACGUUGGAACGACUGCUAAUUCCCGAUCAGCCGAAAGGUGAAAAGAAAUUCGCCUAGGGAUGAGCUUGCGGCUGAUUAGCUAGUUGGUGUGGUAAGAGCCUACCAAGGCGACGAUCAGUAGCUGGUCUGAGAGGAUGAGCAGCCACACUGGGACUGAGACACGGCCCAGACUCCUACGGGAGGCAGCAGUGGGGAAUUUUCCGCAAUGGGCGCAAGCCUGACGGAGCAAGACCGCGUGGGGGAGGAAGGUUCUUGGAUUGUCAACCCCUUUUCUCAGGGAAGAAGUUCUGACGGUACCUGAGGAAUCAGCAUCGGCUAACUCCGUGCCAGCAGCCGCGGUAAUACGGAGGAUGCAAGCGUUAUCCGGAAUGAUUGGGCGUAAAGAGUCCGUAGGUGGCUCCUCAAGUCUAUUGGCCAAGCGCGAGGCUUAACUUCGUCAAGGCCGUAGAAACUGAGGAGCUAUAGAGCAGUAGGGGCAGAAGGAAUUUCUGGUGUAACGGUGAAAUGCGUAAAGAUCAGGAAGAACACCGGUGGCGAAAGCGUUCUGCUUGGCUGCAACUGACACUGAGGGACCAAAGCUAAGGGAACGAAUGGGAUUAGAUACCCCAGGAGUCAACAG